CGCGCCGCAGGGGGCGUCAGUGUGAGUGGAGCUCGUUUAUAUAGCCGACAACCACAGAACUAGUCAGGCUUCAGAGACGCCUGCAGUUUAUCAGAUUUGUUCCCCUUUAUUCCACAAGCUAAGGACUUUUGUUUAAGUUGCAACAAUGAACUCGAAGAACCUGAAGGCUUUCCUGGAGUCCUCUCUGAACGAGAUCUUCAAGGCGACUGUGGGUAACAUCCUGGACUCUGUAGAUCAGACUCUGGCUGAGUAUCAGGGACAAAUUCGGCGGAUUACAUCUGAAAAUGAGACUCUGAGAGAAAAACUGCGUGCUCAAGAGGCUAUUACAUGCCAGGUCAAAACAGUGCAUGAUGAUCUUGUUGUUGCUGAUGGGGACUUGAGACCGACUUUUCAUCAUCAUCCAACUUUACCUGGACAUAAGGGUCCAGGGAAAGCCUCUCAGAAACAGAGGGAAGAUUGGAGAAAGAGAGCAGGAAGCUCGAGGCUUGCAUUACUGAAACCAAGCCCCCUUCCAACCAACAGCGAAACACAUCAGUUAGAUGAAGAAGUGCCAAGUACCACAGUACCUUACGUAAAGAUUGACCCAGACUUUGAAGAUGACAGCAGCCUGUUAAAGCAUCAAUCCCCUGUUAACCUUACAACUAAGAUCAUUAAAGUAGAAGGGUCUGAGGAGAAUUUUUCAGAAUGUUACAUUGGGUCUCCAGCAGACCACUCCAGAGCCAGCGAUGACGAGAUUCAAGUAACCAUGGUGUCUAAUAAGCAUAUGAGCAGUACUAUGAGUGAAGAUGAAGCCAGCGAUAUGGGGCACCAUGAAUCAGAGAAGUCAUCACACAGCGUAUCUGAGGAAGAUAUUGAAGAUCCAACUGACGACACUGUUCUUGGUGUCUGUUUUGAUGGUGAUGUUGGAUUGGCUUUAGAACCAGACAAGGGAUUUAUAGAAAUUUUUCAAUCGACGGAAUCACCAAACUCGAAAGAGCCGAAAGACAGCAAAACCUUCCACUGCGCACUUUGCGAGAAGAGCUUCAGUCGCAUGGCAUCACUUAACAUACACAUGAGGACUCAUAGCUCGGAAAGAGCUCACGUCUGCAGCUACUGUGGAAAGGGUUUUAGCAGAGCUGACCUUCUGAAGAACCAUCAACGCACCCAUACGGGCGAGAGACCAUAUUCCUGUAACCUGUGCGGAAAGAGUUAUGGUCAUCAGGGCCAGCUCCGGAUCCACAAACGAACCCACACGGGUGAGAAACCCUACGCCUGCCCCCAUUGCGCUAAGCGCUUUACUGAACACAACCAGCUCAAAGUGCACCUCCGGACGCACACGGGCGAGCGACCAUACUCGUGCAGCGUCUGCGCUAAGACCUUCGCCAGCGCUGGCAACCUGAGGAUCCAUCUGCGGAUUCAUAGUGGAGAAAAACCUCAUUGUUGUAGCCAGUGCGGGAAGAGGUUCAACAGCCAAGGCGACCUUAAAACACAUCUGCGUGUGCACACAGGCGAGCGCCCGUACCACUGCGAUCUCUGCGAAAAGACAUUCAGCCAGGCCGGCCAUCUGAGCAUCCACAUGCGCAUGCACACGGGUGAGAGGCCGUACGAAUGCGGAAUAUGUGGACGCACCUUCACUGUGGCUAGCAGCCUCAAGCUCCAUCAGCUCACCCACACUGGAGAGAAGCUGCACACCUGUGUACGCUGUGAGAAAAGCUUCAGCAGGGCCAGCCAUCUGAAAAGACACGAGCAGCUCCACGCCAAAGAAGAAACCGUACUGAUGGGUGCUGAUCAGUCGUUGUCGAUGGAAGACCAAAAGCUUCAUGGUGGAGAUGAAGUACAAAAUUUGGAAGGGAUGGAGUGAAUGAAGACUCCAUCCUCACACACAGUGGCCACUUUAAACCUUUAUUUUUAAGGGUGUACUUGUUAACUGUUGGGCAAACCUUCCAUUUAGGCCACUUUGUAUUAUCACUUUAUCAACGCCCCCACUACCCCAUCCACUAAUCCAAUGGAAGGGGAUCGCAGAUGGGCAAAUGUUAUUUAGAUGGUCGUCCAUUCUCAGUACAGCAGUGACACUGACAUGGUAGUGUGUGGUACUGCAGAUUGUAUCAGGCACAUCAGGAAAGUGCUAUCUACCAUCUUCCUCAUACACAAGCUCGCAGACCUGCGUGAUUUGCUAGUGUCUGUACUAUUCCAUCCCUCCCACCCAGAGAGCACGGACAAUUUUACUCCCUUGGCUCUCGGCCAUGGAUAGCUGUGGCAUCAUCGGCAUUCCAACUCACGAUCCCCUGAGAGCUUUUAGAGGUUUUAAAGACUUACCGGUUACUUUAUUGCACAAGCCUAUCUUGUUGAUUCAUCUUGUAGGUGUAUAGCUGGAGACCAAAGCUCAUGUUUUAUCUGAGCGUAACACUGCUGUUGGCUGGACAUUUUUGGUUCAGAAAAAGUCUACCAACUUGGUAAAGAAUGAGGGAGCAGGGAGAAACACUUCUGUAUCUGAUACAUUCAUGUCCGAGCACUGGUCACUGUGCUGAAAAUGAUCCAGCACCCAAAUAGACUUAUGUUGCUCGCUUUCAGCGAUGGGCAGGUGUGGAAGGCUUGACUGCAGUCACUAAUCGUACACCUACAAAGUGACCUAUAUGGUAGGUCUACAUGCUACAAUAGCCAGUGAGUGCAGGUAGCUGUACCCAAUGAAUUGGCACCAUGUGUGAUAUACAUACAUUUCAUUUUGCUUUACAACCCUUUAUUGCACAGUCAAGAAAAAAAAAUCUAUUUAAAAAAAAAAUCCAAAUAUUUGUUUGCCAAGCAUGACAGUUUGAGUAAUGAGGCUUAAUUUACCUAAAAGUUAUUAUGGUGGACAUAUGGAAGAAAGUUAGAAUUAAAAUAGUGGUUUGCAUAGUUUUCAGGUUAAAGUAAAUGACAUAUAAUAGAAAUUGCCUGAUCCAUGCACCUUACAUUUCUUCUCCUCUAGUCAUUAAGGUUCCUCUGGGUUCUUCGGUUUUCUUCCACCUCCAAAAAAAUGAAAAACCUUCCUGUAGGUGAAUUGGAUACACUAAAUUGCCUCUAGGUGUGAUUAAGUGUAUGAGUGUGUGCAUGGUGUUCUGAGGUGGACUGGUGCCCCCUCCAUGCUGAGUGUUCCUGGUGUAAGCUCCAGAUCCACUACGAACCUGACCAAGAUGAAGCGGUUACUGAAGUCUACCACAGUGACAUCCAAUGGGGUUUCCCAAACCACCACACAUACUGGCCAAUUAGAACCGUAAGUACAGUGAAUAUAAUGAAAAUGGUAUCAUGAAAAUGUUGUUUAAUAAUACAAUGUAGAAUAUGAGGUACUUUCUCAUUAUUCCUUUUUAUUUCUGAUGUUUUCGAGAUGGAAAAUUUGUCUGAUAUUUGUCUCCCCUUUCAUUGGGACUUUAAAUUGAUCCUUGAUUCCCUGCUGAGGCCCUGAUCCCGGCACCUUCUUCUCACUGGAAACUGAAUUCCUUGUUUUGAAUGGAAUCUAUUUGCUUUCUAAGGACUCACCUAAGCAGUGUUAUGCUAUCAUUAACUGUCAUUAAUCUUAAUAGAAGGACUAGUGGUUUUUCAAAUGGUGACUAAUUGUAAUGUACUGAUCAAAGAUGCUGAAUUUAUUUUUGUUCGUGUAUCUUAAUGACUGUGUGAUUUUUAUAUUAGCCAACACUUUUUUUUUUCGAUGUUUGCGUACGCCAGGACUAGUGAUUUCCGUUCAGGUCGACUGAUUUCUCCACACUUUUAAGAGUGCAAAUGUAUGAAACAUUGCAUAUAUUUCCAUAGAUAUGUUUUUUCUUUCUUUUUUUUUUUUUUCUUUUUUUUUUUGUGUUUUAAUUCUGUCACAUCUUUUAUGCAUUUUAGGGCAUGCAUUAUUGAGUAUUUUCCUCACCGUUCCUGUUCGUGCUCCUUCUCUAUCAGUCUGCGUAAAGGAACCAUGUAAACUAAAUUACAGUCUUGAGCUAAACUGAUUUUCAAAAUCCAUACUUGUGAAAAUGACUGUAGACUUGCUAAUGGUAUUGACAAGCUUAGCUUUGUGACCAAACACAGUGCAGUAACAAUUUAAAGUGCACACAUUAUACUGUGCUUUUAACUGCAAAUUCCCCUUGACAAGAAAGGUUAGAUGGUAAUGUUAACUAAAAGUAUGUACACAUUAUAAUGAUUAAUAUUGUUUACUUAGUGGAAAUGUAGUGGAAAUGAAGCCAUUCUUGCAAUUGUCAUUCCGUCAUAAUAAAUGAAAUGAAAAAUCAAA